GGCCUGUCUCCGUCUGUCAGAACAUCUCUAGGUCUGACCACAGUUUGCGGGAAAUACAGGGGACGGAGGGGCCCAGGGUGACGGUACAGAAAUGCAAUCAGAUGCAAAACGCAGAACCUCUGCAGGACAAAUGACCCAGUUUCUUCCACAAAUGAAUUGCGAGGGGGAAAAAGAGGGAGGCGAAAUAUAGAGACUUGAAGGCAUAUCUACCCAAUGCCAAGCAUCAGCCUGCUUUGUGUCCUGAUUUGAACAAACCAACUACAAAAAUAAAGAGCAUUUAAACAUCAAAUAGGCAUUUUCAUGAUACUAAGGAAUCACUGUUAUGUUUUAGGUGUGAUGUUAGGAUGAUGUGAAAAGCAAAGGGACCUCAUCUUUCGCCAACACAAACCCACCUGUUCACAGAGGAAACUGCGGGGUAUCUGAAGUCUGCUCUGUGCCAACCUGGGAGGGUGGCAGGAUCCCAGAAAGGACCCUAACCCACCCCCCCCCGGGAUUCAUUAUCCUAUCUCCUCUAACUUUAUAUAUUUAAAUUUCCCCUCAUUAGGAAAAAUCAAGACCCAAGAGACACCGAAAAAAGGGAAAAAAAAAAAGGCGAUUCAGAGUCAGACCCUGAAUAUUGAAGAAGUUUCUUUUUCUUAUGGUUUCCUUUCCAUGAGUGCACAAAAGAGUGAGGACAUGUGGAUAAAACGCACACACAAACGACACAAGCAAGUGCUUCUCUAAAUCCACGAGAGACGGACACCCAAAGGGGCACAGGAGAUGAGGCAGCAGCAUGUUGGUGCACAAGAUGCGAUACACCAGUGAACAGCGCACAUGAGGAGACACAUUCGGCUUUGCCAGAAAUCAAAGGAAUGAAAAUCACAACAGGAUAUCAUUUGAGCCUGUCAAUCUAGCAAAGCAGAGUAUGUGAUCCUGCAUUUGGGUCCCGGAGGGUGGGGGGGGGACACUACUCUAGAGGACAUUACAGAGAUAAUUGGUAAAUUUUGAAUAUGACUUAGAAAAUAGUAAUGAUUUUUUAAAAGACUUUAUUUAUUUAUUCAUGAGAGACACAGAGAGAGGCAGAGACACAGGCAGAGGGAAAAGCAGACUCCCUGUCGGGAGCCCGAUGCGAGACUCCAUCCCAGGACCCCAGGGUCAUGGCCUCAACCACUGAGCCACCCGGGAGUCCCUGAAAAUAGUAGUAUAAUAGCAGGGUUACAUUGCUGAUUUUUAAAAAAAGAGAUAUUUAUUUAUUUUAGAGAGGGAGAGUGUAUAGGUGAGAGGGGCAGAGGGAGAGGGAGAGAAUCUCAAGCGGACUCUGCCCUGAGUGCAGAGCCUGAGGAAGUGGAUCUCAGGACCCUGAGGCCAUGACUUGAGCUGAAAUCAAGAAUCAGUCCUUUAAUUGACUUGAGCUCCGCCCCCAGGCGCCCCGAUUGCUGAUUU
rnacentral:lncRNA from 12 species